CUCUCAAUUUCUCGUAAUUUUUCAUAGACUCAUUUUUUGUUCCAAAUUAAAUUCUCUUUCCAUAGAGACAAUUUCCCCGAGGAUCGGUGGAAAAGUAGGGAAGUUAUGCCAAAUCUUCCACUUGGCAUCUUCACUGGAAGUGGGGACUAUCGAGAACUGAAGACGUCGGUACUCAAGGAAGAUGCGAGCAGUCGUAAUCGCUCCCUAACCCGGGGCUUGCUGUUUCAUGAUCUUCUUGAUACAAGGACGACUUCUGUUCCUUUAUAUCCAUUUCCAUGGAUGUCGAUGGGGGAAAUGGGGAAACAUCCCAGAUUUUCCACUUGGAUUCUCUCUCUCUCACAUUUUUCAAUAUUUCUCUUUUCCUCUCAAUUUCUCGUAAUUUUUCAUAGACACGUUAUUUGUUCCAAAUUAAAUUCUCUUUCCAUAGAGACAAUUUCCCCGAGGAUCGGUGGGAAAGUAGGGAAGUUAUGCCAAAUCUUCCACUUGGCAUCUUCACUGGAAGUGGAGACUAUCGAGAACUGAAGACGUCGGUACUCAAGGAAGAUGCGAGCAGUCGUAAUCGCUCCCUAACCCGGGGCUUGCUGUCUCAAGAUCUUCUUGAUACAAGGACGACUUUUGUUCCUUUAUAUCCAUUUCCAUGGAUGUCGAUGGGGGAAAUGGGGAAACAUCCCAGAUUUUCCACUUGGAUUCUCUCUCUCUCACAUUUUUCAAUAUUUCUCUUUUCCUCUCAAUUUCUCGUAAUUUUUCAUAGACACGUUAUUUGUUCCAAAUUAAAUUCUCUUUCCAUAGAGACAAUUUCCCCGAGGAUCGGUGGAAAAGUAGGGAAGUUAUGCCAAAUCUUCUACUUGGCAUCUUCACUGGAAGUGGGGACUAUCGAGAACUGAAGACGUCGGUACUCAAGGAAGAUGCGAGCAGUCGUAAUCGCUCCCUAACCCGGGGCUUGCUGUCUCAUGAUCUUCUUGAUACAAGGACGACUUCUGUUCCUUUAUAUCCAUUUCCAUGGAUGUCAAUGGGGGAAAUGGGGAAACAUCCCAGAUUUUCCACUUGGAUUCUCUCCAACUUUCAUCAAUAUUUCUUCUACUCUCAGUUUUUUCCACUUUCUCAUCAUUUUCAUCGAUACACUCUUUGUUAGGUGUUAAAUACGCUUCCUUAUGACCCAAUUUCCAUGGAAAUCGAUAGGAAAUUUAAAAAAUUAUGGUAGACUUACACUUUGAGAUCAUUUCCUUCAUUUUUUCUUAACUUGGAAACUAUCGGAUCAACUUGGAACAAUGAGAGAGAAAAAGAUCAUGGUUACUUGGCAGUAUACUCCCUUACCCCCCUUCCCCCCGCAGUUCAAGGAGUAAUCCAGAGAUGACCUUAAGGACUAGAAAAAGGGACGUGAUCCGACUUGUUUUUGGAACUUAAUACUGAAGUAGUUCUCUUUUCAGAUAGACCUGUAUUACCCUAAAAUGGACGUGACUUACCUUGAGAUAGACGUGGAUUCUCCCCAGAUGGACUGGCUUACCUUACUAGAAGAACUCACCUUAAUUUGAUAAGGCAUAAGUCAUCCAAAACUCGUCAAUUUUGAUAGAUAGCUUUGUACCCAAGACCGAAAAAGAACAUGUCAAUGAAAGAUAAAGAAGGCAAAAGCAAGAGUGAAGAAUGCAAUAUAUAAAAUUAUGAAUAAUGACAAAAAUUAAAAACAAAAAACCCCCCCGAUUCCAAAAGAAAUAAUUGACGUCAGAAUCCUAUGGUGGUAGAACCAAAGAACCUUAUCUGUUAUGGAAUUACUUACUGAGAGGAAGGAAUACCAUUCAAGCAAACAACUGAAGGAAGGCUCAAUCAAAGAACCAUCUGCAGUAGCAGCUUUGUACCAAUCGGACUCAAUUUGUUGCUAAGGUAACUUUUCUUUGUGACUUUUUUUUACGAAUGAAUCACUCCCCAUCUCUCUUUCCUUUUCUAUAUAUAAUUGAGGCGUGUUUUACGAAAACCGCACAUGUCCAAAAUCAACGAAAUUGAGCUAGUGGUGGCACCAUCUAGUUUAAAA
rnacentral:lncRNA from 1 species